UACGGAGGAUUCAAGCGUUAUCCGGAUUUAUUGGGUUUAAAGGGAGCGUAGGCGGGUUGUUAAGUCAGUUGUGAAAGUUUGCGGCUCAACCGUAAAAUUGCAGUUGAUACUGGCAUCCUUGAGUACAGUAGAGGUAGGCGGAAUUCGUGGUGUAGCGGUGAAAUGCUUAGAUAUCACGAAGAACUCCGAUUGCGAAGGCAGCUCACUGGACUGCAACUGACGCUGAGGCUCGCAAGCAUGGGUAGCGAACAGG
rnacentral:rRNA from 1 species